CCAUCCUGCUUUUCAAACUCAAUAUAAUGGAAGCCUUCGAUAUUCGUACUUGUCUUUUGUCUUUUUGUCUUUUGUGCAUUGACUUUCCCUCGUGAGGCUUUUGAUCUGCCCCCUAAGCAUAGAAUACCGGCGAUACAUAUACGAAACAGUAAAAUAAACGGUCGCUCCAGAAAGCCGGGCCAAGCUUGAUAACUCCGGCGGUAGUUGUGGUGGUAGUGGCUCUCGGACCGGACAAAAGCCCCCCAAGCUUCCGAAGAGGUUAAAAAAUCAAAAAGGCCGCGGACAUCAACAUCUCACCCGAAACUCUAGCCACCGGUGCGGAUCAGCGGCGGGAUUGGAAGGAUGAAAUCCGGGAGAGGCUCGACUGAAUUUAACUCAACGACUCCAGAGAGCAAACCCGAAGAGAGUUGCGACUAAGUGGA
rnacentral:sRNA from 1 species